UCCGUAGGUGAACCUGCGGAAGGAUCAUUAGUGAAUUUAGCGCAUCUACUUUGUAGAGCGUGACCUCCACUUUCUAACUCUGUGCACUUAAUGGCGGAAGAAGAUGUGUAAAAGCUCUUCUUCUGCGGCUCAUUUUAUAACACUAGUUAAAGAAUGUAACGAAAUAUCGAAACAAAAAAAAACUUUCAACAACGGAUCUCUUGGCUCUCGCAUCGAUGAAGAACGCAGCGAAAUGUGAUAAGUAAUGUGAAUUGCAGAAUUCAGUGAAUCAUCGAAUCUUUGAACGCACCUUGCGCUCCCUGGUAUUCCGGGGAGCAUGUCUGUUUGAGUGUCAUGAAAUCUUCAACCCACCUCUUUCUUAGUGAAUCUGGUGGUGCUUGGUUUCUGAGCGCUGCUCUGCUUCGGCUUAGCUCGUUCGUAAUGCAUUAGCAUCCGCAACCGAACUUCGGAUUGACUUGGCGUAAUAGACUAUUCGCUGAGGAUUCUAGUUUACUAGAGCCGAGUUGGGUUAAAGGAAGCUCCUAAUCCUAAAGUCUAUUUUUUGAUUAGAUCUCAAAUCAGGUAGGACUACCCGCUGAACUUAAGCAUAUCAAUAAGCGGAGGAA
rnacentral:rRNA from 1 species